rnacentral:rRNA from 1 species
CCUACGGGAGGCAGCAGUGAGGAAUAUUGGACAAUGGGCGCGAGCCUGAACCAGCCAAGUAGCGUGAAGGAUGACUGCCCUACGGGUUGUAAACUUCUUUUAUAAAGGAAUAAAGUGAGGCACGUGUGCCUUAUUGUAUGUACUUUAUGAUUAAGGAUCGGCUAACUCCGUGCCAGCAGCCGCGGUAAUACGGAGGGUCCGAGCGUUAUCCGGAUUUAUUGGGUUUAAAGGGAGCGUAGAUGGGUUGUUAAGUCAGUUGUGAAAGUUUGCGGCUCAACCGUAAAAUUGCAAUUGAUACUGGCAGUCUUGAGUACAGUUGAGGUAGGCGGAAUUCGUGGUGUAGCGGUGAAAUGCUUAGAUAUCACGAAGAACUCCGAUUGCGAAGGCAGCUUACUAAACUGCCACUGACAUUGAUGCUCGAAAGUGUGGGUAUCAAACAGGAUUAGAUACCCUGGUAGUC